UCUUAAGCUAGCUGUGUAGCGGGCACAGAGAGCUGUUGGGAUAUGGCCUAGAUGAGGAAUGUCCUGGUAGAAGUCACCAUCUUAGGCUAGGUGAAGUGACUGGCUGGGGGGCACAGAGGGAGAGGGUACUCCCUGGUGAGAAGGGCUUAGGAUCCAAUGCUGGGGAAUAGAGUCCUCCUUCUGAGAAGCCAUGGAUGCCAGUCUACCCCUGCAGAAAACCAUGGGGCCCGGGCCAGAUGAAGGUUAUGGAGUUGUAGGUUGGGGACGAGGGGUUUGUCCUGAUGAGAGGCAGCGAAACCUUCCACAGCAAAGGUCUGACGAAGGACUAAGACCUCCCAGGCGCCCUCUCAAGGCCCUGUUCACCUCAAGAAUGCUUACUGGUCACCUCGAGGCUAAAUAGUCAGCAGAGACAAGCCAUGUUGGAGGAUCUGAGUCAAGGAAAAGGGUCCAACCAUGAGAAGAGGAAGAUGGAGAGCACAGCCCAGAUCACUGAGGAAGACAGCAAGCUUGAUGAGGUUGUGGGGCUGCAGAAGCAGAUCUGUGACCUUGGGACAGAGCUCACAAGACAAUCAUCUUGGUGGUGCAUAGCUCACAAAGACCUCCAAAGCCAGAUCGAUGCUCUGAUAAAGGAGAACCAGGAGAUCCGUGCGGAGCUGAAGACCUUGAAGAAGCAGGAUGCGGAGGCCACCAAAGCCUGUAUAGGCUCGCCCACCCCGGCAAGAGCAAGCAACACUCUGCCAGUGUACAUAAAGAUAGAGGGAACUGAUUCCGAGAGGACAACCUCAUGGGAUGAAAGAGAUGAGCUUUCUGGAAGUCCUCCAAACAGAAGCACAAUGGCCACCGGAGGAACAGACUCCCAGGAUGAAAUGCUGUCUUUUACAUCUGUGGAUGAAAAGGUUAUACACAUGUCUUCCAAAUUUCUGCAAAGAAGCUUGGGCAGAAUGUCACCAGAACCACUGUCUGACAGCACAUUCCUGGACACAGAGUCACUGGCUGACAUCUGGUCCUCAAAUCCAGAGACUUCGGACGGUGAACUUCUCCUGCAUGCUCAAGCAAGCAGGGUCAUCCCUUGUUUUUCCCCAAAUGCACUGUGGGUGCAGAAUAUUCCAACAAAGUCAAGAGCUCCUAAAGAAAUACAGCAAACCUCGGACACUACAAAGACUGAUGAGACAAAGGAAAAGCAACACCCAAAUGGCAAGGUGGAGCGGAUGCUCAGCGACGGGCGAACCAUCAUCACCUUCCCCAAUGGAACCAGGAAGGAGAUCAGUGCUGACAAGAAGACCACCCUCAUCAGGUUUUUUAACGGUGACAUGAAGAAGAUCAAGUCCAAUCAGAAAGUGAUUUAUUAUUAUGCGGAUGCACAAACAAUGCACACAACCUACCCAGAUGGUGUUGAAGUGGUGCAGUUUCCUAACAAGUGGACUGAAAAAUUCUACCCGGAUGGCUCCAAGGAAACCGUGUUUCCUGAUGGGACAGUGAAACGGCUUAAGGAUGGAUGUGAAGAGACGGUGUUCCCUGAUGGGACAUUUGUGACAGUGAAGAGGAACGGAGACAAAACCAUCAUGUUCAGCAACGGAGAGAAAGAAAUCCACACGGCCAGGUUCAAGCGGAAGGAAUUCCCAGAUGGCACCACCAAGACUGUGUAUUGCAAUGGCUGCCAGGAGACUAAGUAUGCCUCAGGGAGGGUCAGGGUCAAAGAUGAGAAGGGAACUGUCAUCCUGGACUGGAAGUAGUGCAUCCAACAGACUCAAGGCCAGGCAGUAGGCUCCAAUCUCCAAAUAUAGUUUUGACCAAAACAGACAAAGCGACUCACGAUUCCCUUGACAAUCCUGGAGAUCCCCUGCACAUGAGGAGUAAAGAGACAUCCAAAAAUUGUAAAGAAAGAGACCAUGUAGCCACCACCAUCUUGGGAGAGAGGUCAGAGAAGCAGUAGCCAGAAAUGAGGUCCUGGACAUGGCUUCUGUGGCCUUGUCCAGACCAUGCCUUCUGUCGGAGUCUGGCCCUAGAGCAGAGGGUACAAUGGGAGCAACGUGACCACUGCCAGCUAGUUCCUGGGAGCAGCCGUUAACAACAGCUGGCUCCGUGUUUUUGCUUGGCCAACACCUGCCUGCAUCUACUUCUAUCCCCUUUUAGAGUCCUCAUCAAUGGGAUCCAGGGGGAUGUAUCUUCACUGGUGCCUGAUGUAUGAAUAGACUUGAUUUAACCAUCCUGAAGUGUCUAGACAGAACCUCAUGUGGCAUUCUAUCCCAUAAAUUCACACAAUUUUGAUCUGUCAAUCAACAAGGAGAUGAGUAAAAGCACAGAUGAAAACAAAGACAGAAACAUAGUGGGCCACACCUCCUACCUGUUCCUGUGAGUCUGCCCUGCUGCCCCCUCAUUUCCUGGGAGCACUCUGCCAUGCUGUAGGAGAGAUUCCUCCCUAGCUACUAGGCAGCCACCAAUCUCAAUCUUCCAGUCCUUACACUG